UGCCCGCGUCUCCUCGGCGUCGUGGUCAGCUGGAGCCGGGGCAGCUCCUGCCUCUCCUUCAGGUGCGGGGCAGACCCGGCCGCCGGGAGGGCCCGUGGGGGCGUUCAGGAGCUGGUGGCGAGCGGUGCCAGAGGGAGGCCGAACUCUGUGUUUUAAUUUAAAACACCAGUGCAGAGCGCCGGGGCCGUGCGGGGAGGCUCGGGCCGGGCCGGCGCUCGGAAGUGACGGCUGGACCCUCUGGCUCCUCCUGCCCUCAGGGAAACAUUAACUUGGAGCUCUGCUGUCGUUUGGGGGAGAGAAGGUUGGAAAGUCCCCUGCAGGGCACAGCCUGCGGCUGAACAGGCUCAAAGGACAAUGCAAAUCCCAGUUUUUACGGUUGAUGCCUUUACAAACCGGCCGUUUUCUGGAAAUCCCGCGGCAGUUUGUCUGCUUGAAAAUGAGUUGGAUGAAGGUUUGCACCAAAAAAUCGCAACAGAAAUGAAUCUUUCAGAAACAGCUUUCAUCAGAAAGCUGCACCCUGGAGAUGACUUUACCAAAAGUUCCUGCUUUGGACUCAGGUGGUUCACCCCAGCCAAUGAAGUUCCUCUCUGUGGUCACGCUACCCUGGCAUCGGCUGCUGUGUUGUUUCACAUACAAAAAAAUACAAAUCCAGUCCUCACAUUUGUGACACUGAGCGGGGAAUUAAAAGCCAGACAAGUGAAAGAUCACAUUGUCCUGGACUUGCCACUUUAUACAGCCCAUCCUCAGGUACUUGAGGAAGUAGAAGAAUUAAUAAAGGCAGCAGUUGGUGACAUGACUGUUCAAGAUGUCCGUUACUCUCCUGACACAAAGAAACUAUUAGUCCGUCUCAGUGAUACUUAUGAAAGGUCUGUGUUGGAAGAACUGAAAGUGAGUGCACAAAGCUUUUUGUCAGCUGAAAAGACGGGAAAAGUGAAAGGACUCAUACUCACUCUUAAGGGAAAUUCCAGUGGGAAAGGCCACGAUUUUUACUCCAGAUAUUUUGCACCUUGGUAUGGAGUUUUGGAGGACCCUGUUACAGGAUCUGCUCAUGCUGUUUUAAGCAGCUACUGGUCAGAGCAACUGGGGAAGAAAGAAAUGCUUGUGCAAAAGAGAAGGUUAAGAAUGCUUCCAAAUAAAUAUCUGGACUGCAUGGCUCUUACCCCAGAAAUGCUGUUGUGAAAUGCUCUGAGAACUGAUAAGAGGACUGUGAUGCACGGAUGUGAGGAAUGAGCAGGAUGAUAAUUGGAUGAGAGACACCUGAGAAAGUCAGAGGACGUGUAGGGGCCACAACAGAGGGAAGUCAGGAAGGACUAAGAGAUAAAUAACCUCUGGAGCAUUACUCUCUCUGGAAUCUGGAGUUGAACACAAGAAUCCUGAGUUUAUACUUCCUUCUGCUAUCAUAACUACUUACUUCAUCUUUCUAAUACUAAGGUCCCUUUGUGGAAAACAUCAGGACAGCUUUUGCAGAUCACCGAGCGUGUGCAGGUGGGACUGACCUUGGUGGAUAACUGUAUUUUUGAGCACAUGAGAUCAUAUGUGGUGCCAAGUGCUCAAAAAAUUCACCAGCUUUUUAAUAUGUCAAAUAAUAUUUGCUGCUUUAGUGGUGCAGUGGGUUGUGAUAUCAUUUGAAGUGGAAACUUUGAGCUGUCUUGUGUAUAUGUAUCUGUACAUGUAAUCAUAUUCAAUAUAUAAUGUAGAUAAGAACCAGAUUCAAAACAUGUUCCUCUAGUACCGUGAGAAAAGGAACCCUUCCUCAUUUUUGAUUUUUCAGGAGGUUUCAGACCUCCUGUUGCAAAAACAUGCUUUCAAACAAAGUUAUGUUGAAAUGGUAUUCUGUCCAGGAUCACUGGGGAAAGCUGUGGGGUUUGAGGCUCAGCCGAGGGAAAGCUACCUAAGAAAGAUCAUGUGGAACAGAGAGGAUGACUGGCAAGGAGAAAUGGGUCAAUUGAGAAGUGGUAAAUGGAGGGUAUGGCAAGUAGAGCCUUAAGUGUAGCUGGAAGACUUAUGUGAGCUACUAGAAAGAAGAUUUCAACCAGAGACUGAAGAGGAAACUUAUAAUGUUCUAAGCACUCAUAGAAAAGGGUGUCCAGGAUGAGGGUGGGAAGCCCUGGGUGAAAUGAUUGCAGGCUCCUCUUGCAGCUGUAGUUUGCUACUCAACUUGCCAGUAUUAGUUACUGUCAGUUCAGGGUACAACAUUCUCUGGUGAGUUAUUGUGUUUUCUGAUAUUCCUAUGGCCGUGACAGGGAAAACAAUGCAAAUAACCAAGGCAGGAGAACACACACCUGUGUGGGAUUUCUAGCCUGUCUUGUGAGCUGAGUCAAAUGCUGCAAGAAAUUGGGUUCUUAAGGAUGGUUGUAUUUUGGUAGCUGCCCACCUGCUCUUAAUCAAGCAGCACACAGCAUGCCAGUCCUUCAGCUUUCCUCAGUGUGAACUACAGUGCUAAGAAGUCUUGAGGAGGCUUUUAGAAAGGAUCUACCCGAGAUUAACUAGUCAGUUCUGGCUGCAAGGGAGAGGGAUAAUCAGAAACUGUCAGUCAGAAAGGAGCACCUCAACGUGUGGUAGUCGUUCGCUACGUUUGGCAGAACAUGUCAGUGCACACAGAGAGCAAAGUGGAACGUUUCUAAUGAAACGUGAUGCAGUUGUACUUCUUUAAAAAUUGAAGAAGUGGCAUGCAUUUUGAUAAUGGGAUAAUGGAGAGCCCCUACCCCAGCUCUCCUCUCUGAUCACAGUCAUUAGGAUGCAGAAUAUUAAGAGCAGAGCAACUGGGCGUAACAGCCGACGUUCAACAUCUGUCACACUGGAGUCCAUUAGUGUUCAAUUGCAUCCUAUUGUUUCUGGAUUAUUCAACCUCACUUCAUUGUCAUUGCUUUUCCUAGGGAUUAAUCAGCUGUUUACAACUACACCAAGUUUUGGAGUCAUAAUGAAAACAAUUGAGCUAUAGUUCUAAAUAAAUAUACAGUAUUCAGUCUCUAAUGAAAAAAGUUACUAAUUUAUGAAUGCUGGUAACAAUUUAAUUAAGUUUGAAAUCAAUACAGAUAAUAAAUCAUUGUGUGGUGGGUUCCCCCCCCCCCCGUAUGUACAUCAUAAAAUGAUUGUGUGAUAUAUCCUCCGAAGUUUAUGUAGCUAUGGUCUUAAUAGUACAAGUACAGUAAAAGAAAGAUGUUUUGAUUAUGUGGGUGUAUAUAGGGUGGCUUCUCUAUCAUUACAGUUGGUAGCAGAAUUGAUCCCUUACUACCAGCAAGCAGAUUUCUGUUUUUCACAUACUCUUUUAUUCUCAUUACUUAUUUAGCAAUAUUGCUAAAAAAGACACUUCUAACCCACAUAAAUGCACAUAUAUGCUUUAAUACGGUGUAUUAAAAACAGCAGUUUUCAGAUGAUUUCUAUACUUGCAUGUUUUUGUGUGUGACUAUCACAACCUAUCUGUGUAUUUUUGCAAUCAUUAUUAGAUAAAUCCAUAGCUACAUUUUAACUGUUUAAGGAUAUUUCAGUGAUUUCAUGACACUGAAUUUGCUUACAGGCAAAUACACAAUCCCCAUUUUUCUCAAGGUACAGUUCUGACUGCAAUGUUGUGUACUUUAUACAGUAUUAAAAUUGUGCUUGCUGAAGGGUUUCUAGUGGUUUGAGUUUGCUUAUUUUGGUACCAUAUGUGCAAAACAUUAUUCUUGGCUGUAUAUCAUUAGGCUAUUUCUCCUGUUUCAUUAAAACAGUUAUUUCUUCUAUCCUCAAUACCUCACCAGAAUUUUCACGUGCUUUAACGUACAAAUGCUACAAUGCACAGAGAUUUUUUUUUUCCCCCUGUGUUGCAACAGAUUUAUCCUUUGAAAAGAUCUUUUGCUUAACUGCCCAGGGUCAGCCAGACACUACUCCAGAUGGCAAGUUGUUAGGGCUGGACAGAAUGGCUUUGGAAGACUUCUCACCAGAUGAAGGCUGUAAUGUUCAGAUUUUACUGUUCUGGUUUUUUUUUUUUCUUCCCUGCCUGUAGUUCCCAGGGUGGGAAGGUGCUGGGAUGGAAGCAGAGUGCCGCCUGCCCACCUGCUACCACCUGUUUGGCUUUUGCAGUUCCUAUAAAGCCUCAUCUUGUCCAUACAACACAGUCAUUGCUGGCCAGCAGGAGCCAAAGGAGAGAUCUCUGUUAGGAAGUUACAUCUUCAGAUCGCAACCAUUCACCAUUUCAAAAUACUCUCCUAAACUGAACCAGAACUUCCCUCAUUUAAAAUAGUCAUUUGGAAUCCUAGUUGGAAUAAAUGGAUCAUUUUCUUCAGUAACAUACAUUCUGAGAAGGGAGAUUUCAUUGUUUUCUCUCUGCUUGAGAUUAAAGAAAUUAAAAGAAUGAAAG